UACAGGAAGAGUGCCCCCGUGCCACUCGCUGGUACAGGCAUGUCCCUUCUGCGUUUUACUGCCUACCACGCACAACUGCUGCUGAUCGCUGUUCAGAUUCCAUAAUCCUGGGCAUGAUGACAAAGGAAGGAGACAAUCACUAGUCCUGUACAGCUUCCCACAGCAAUGAGCAGCACUGCAAGAUACCCCAAAAGCAGGGAACACCCAGGGUUUCAGCAUCAAAGGAACACCUAUGGCAGCUGCCUUGUGAACUGAGCAGCCUCCAGAGCCUCUGACCCUGCAGGACGAAGCCACCAUUGCUGGACUACCCAGUCCUGAUGUGCGAACCAAUCUAGUAGAUUGCUUUUGAAUGUAAACACAUUCUAUUAGUUCCCAGGCCCUAGAGGACCUUAACUCAUACAUUCAUAAUUUUAAAAAAUAUUUAUUUUUGCAUUGUGAUUUUUAUUGUUUUUUUUUUUAAAUGCAAUAUUAGAAUGUCAGAGUGUGGUGACUGUAAAUCAAAUUCUUCUUUUUCCUUGAGUUUUACUUUUUGCUUUUUGUUGUCCCAAUCUGUAAAAGUUCUUUCAUCUGCUGGUUUUCACCGUGUGUGUGUGUGUGUGUGUGUGUGUGUGUGUGUAGGAGUGCUCUUUGUCUGUGUGUGGCUGGUGAUUGAACAUGGAGCCUUGCACAUGCCAGGAAAGCACUUUACUGCUGAGCUAUACUCCAGUUUUGUUAGUUAAAAAAAAUAUUUCUCUUAUCUUUGAGAUUAUAAUGUAAUUAUUUUAUUUCCUUCUUUUCCUCACUUCUCCUUGCUCUUUCAAACUCAUAACCUCUUCUUCAUUAAUGGUUGUUACAUAUCUUAUGCAUACACGCGCACACACACACACACUCACACACACACACACUCACACACUCACACACACACGCAUACACACACACACUCACUCACUCACACACACACUCACACACACACACGCAUACACACACACACUCACUCACACACACACUCACACACACACACUCACUCACACACACACUCACACACACACACUCACACACACACACUCACACACUCACUCACACACACACACUCACACACACACACUCCCACACACACACACUCACACACACACACACACACUCACACAUACACUCACACACACACUCACACACACACACACACACGCAGAUGUGGAACUUGUUCAGUCUGUAUAAUGCUACUCAUUACGUAUGCUUCAGAACUGGCUAUCAGGUCUUGCAUAACCAACUGAUAUGCUCUUCCCUGUAGAAGACUAUUUCUUUCAGUCUCAGUAUUCCUUAGUUGCCUGAAGUUCUUUGUGUAGAGUGGAGGACAAAAUUUUCUUUGCUUGCCUAGAAAGGAAGGGAGGGAAGGAAGAGGAGACAGAAGAGAAGGAUAGUGGGAGAUCCUGUGCUAGGUUUUCUCAAUGGGCUCUGUACUGGUAUUCAUCUUCCACACUGAGCCAAGUGUUGAAAUAUUCAUGUAGUACUCACUGGGCUGAGUCUUGGGAAGUUGUUGAAGUGAAGCUUUGAAUUCUGCGCCUAACAUGAAUCUUGUCCUGACCAUGUGUGUGCCUUUCUCAAGUCCUCAGAAUACAAAGAAACUAAUUUGCUUUUUUGUUGUUCCUUCGUGAUGAGGAGGAGGAGAAAGGGGAGGAGACAGAGUUUCACGUAGCCAAGGCUGGCCUGGAACUCCAGCCACUGAUUCUCCUGCCUCCACCUCCCAAAUGCUGAGAGUGAAGACAUACCCUGUCAUUCCUCCUCCGAAUUCACUUCCUGAAUGCACCACUUUCCAAAGCAAUUCUCUCCUUGACUUUGCUUCCCAACCCAGAAGUGGUCUGCUGUGGCUUCAAGCACAACCUUGCCCUAGGCUGCUACAGGUUUUCUACCAUCUGAUGUUCUGAGCAAAGCCUUUUCCUAGCCUCGGAAGAGAGAGAGAAGAGAACACAUUGACUCCGUCCUUACGGCAGCCCUCAGGCAAGUCACAGAGAGACUAGUGAGAAGGGCCAGCUCUGCUCUCUCUGAACCCGGAACAAAGACCCCACAGUGGGAAUGUGGGCUGCUGUGCUCAAACUUAUCCCUGAGCAAGGGAGGCUCGUGUCGCUGCCCUGGUUUUCCUAGCACUUUGUUCUUCAGAGUUUAAUAAGGCUGGUGAUGACUGUUUCCAUGGGCACACUAGAGCUCACAGCUGUCAGUUUGGUUGUCGUUCCUGAAGUGACCUUCUGAAAGGCUUUCCUGAUGCUGUCCCUUUAGCAUCUGUCUGUGCCUGACUUUAAUAUGGCUGAGGCUGCAUAACUGAGUGUCACCACAGUGGCAGAGCCAUCUCCAUCCCCGACUUUUUCAGCAUUUGCAUCUGUGCAUUCUAACCUGGUUCUUAUCCAUGGGUGAGCUUGUUGCAUUCCACCUGACAGUUCAGUCCCCACGGAAACAUCAAACCUUUCACACACGUGGAGUGCACGUGUGCCUGAGGUUAAGUUGUAUCCCUUAUAGAGAUUUCUGAUGGUUCUUGUCUUUCUGCCUUCUUAAAAUACAGCACCCGUGCAUUCUUCCUUCUAUCAUGGUUUGAAAGUAAUGUGCUAUUCUUGUCCUUACAGCUCUCGCCUUGGAAAUCCACAGAGGUAUGCUUGGCUUGGCUUAGGUCACAUGAGAAUUCCUCCCCACCUCAG
rnacentral:lncRNA from 1 species